UUGUUAUACUGUAGUAUCUUUACCUAACAAUAACCACAUCAACAAAUUAGAAUUUUUGUGAUCAUGUGUGAAAAAGUAUGAGAGCGUUUUGUCAUGACUUUUAAGAGAUGUAGAAUUUUUAUAUUAUAAUCUCAAUAUCCUCAAGCACAGAUAAUUAUUACCAUGAAAAUUUAGUCUUUAAUCCUUGUGCUUAUUACACUGACUCUAUAAUAUUUGAAUGAAAAUGAUAGAAUUUGAUUAAGAGGCUUCUGUUCCAUUUAAAAUCCACAUAUCCUUCAUGAGAUGAAUCUCUUUCAUAUGAUUUAAGCACGUUUUGAAUACGUUCACCUCCCAUCAUGACCAGAUAUGCAAAUUCAAGCGUCAGGGUUGGAUAUCACUCUAUUUAUGAGAUGUGAUGGUCUCUGUUAAACUUUGAAGAACAGAGAAGACCCCAGUACAAUCAACACACACCAUGUUCUCUACAUCUCUACUGCUCCUGCUGGCAGCUGCUUCCUAUGUGCAUGGAGAGGAACUGACUCAGCCUGCUUCCAUGACAGUCCAGCCAGGCCAGAGUCUCUCCAUCAACUGCAAGGUUUCAUAUUCAGUUACAAGCUAUUAUACAGCUUGGAUCCGACAACCUGCAGGAAAAGCUCUGGAGUGGAUUGGAUACAUCAGUGGUGGUGGUAAUACAUAUUACAGUGACAAACUGAAAAAUAAGUUCAGCAUCUCCAGAGACACUGCUACUAACACAAUAACAAUUCGAGGACAGAAUCUGCAAACUGAAGACACAGCUGUGUAUUACUGCGCAAGAGGCACGGUGACACAGAAUAGUGGAUUCUCCUUACAAAAACUUUGAGACAUGUUAGAGAUCCUCACAAUUAAACAAACAAAUAGUCAUUAAAAAAUAUAUACAUACAUUGCUCAAAGACUGCUGAUUUCGAGCCAUUAUUAAUCUCUCAUUGUAUAAAAUAUUUAAGAAACAAUUAGAAUAAAAGUUUGAUUUAGAGUCCAUGACAGUCCAGCCAGGCCAGGGUCUGUCCAUCAACUGCAAGGAUUCACAUUCACAUUCAGUUACCAGCUAUUACACAGCUUGGAUCCAACAACCUUCAGGUAAAGCUUUAGAGUGGAUCAACUCUAUUGAUUAUGAUGGGGAUUUUUAUAAGAAAGAUUCACCUGAAGACAAGUUUGUCAUCUUUCGAGACACUUCCAGUAACACAGUGAUCUUAUGGAGACAGAAAAUGCAGGCUGAAGUCACAGCUGUGUAUUAGUGCGCUCGUGAUCCACACUGAUAUGACAAGCUGCAGUGCUUCACAAAAUCAUCAUCAUCACAAUUCAGUUCUGUAUUGAAAUAAUGAUUACAUUUUACUGAGCGAAUAAUCCCCACAUUAUAAACACUUCAGCAUAGACACCAAGAUCAUUAUUUAUUAAUACAAAGAUUUUCUCAGACCAUGCUUAAUAAAAUAUAUUAUCUAUUUUUUAGCUAUUUGAAAUUAAAUGCC